GUCGGUAGAUGCAUUAGGACUGGGCGUCGCGUCACGUGCUGACGCCGAGCUCAGGGACACGGAGUGUGCAGCUUGCCUGCAGAAGGGCUGAGUAGGAGGAGCCAGUGUCAAGUGCACCCUCCCCCCAACUUCCGGUUGCUAAAUCCUCAGAUCCAGGGGCGAAGAGCGGUGCUUGGGUUGUUCGUGUCUCCUGCUCAUUUGAGGUGAGAACAUUGAGGCUUAGCCAGGUUGUGAUUUGCCUGGGGCAACUACACAACUGAUUUUGAAUGACAUAGUCAUUUACU
rnacentral:lncRNA from 1 species